rnacentral:rRNA from 1 species
UUGGAAUAGGACGCCAGAGAAGGUGAAAGCCCUGUCUUCGGAUGAGUCGAGGCGAUACGAGAUAUUUCUAAGAGUCGGGUAGUUUGGGAAUGCUGCCCUAAGCGGGAGGUAAACUUCUCCUAAGGCUAAAUAUUUAUAGGAAACCGAUAGC